CUCCGUAGGUGAACCUGCGGAGGGAUCAUUACACAAAUAUGAAGGCGGGCUGGAACCUCUCGGGGUUACAGCCUUGCUGAAUUAUUCACCCUUGUCUUUUGCGUACUUCUUGUUUCCUUGGUGGGUUCGCCCACCACUAGGACAAACAUAAACCUUUUGUAAUUGCAAUCAGCGUCAGUAACAAAUUAAUAAUUACAACUUUCAACAACGGAUCCCUUGGUUCUGGCAUCGAUGAAGAACGCAGCGAAAUGCGAUAAGUAGUGUGAAUUGCAGAAUUCAGUGAAUCAUCGAAUCUUUGAACGCACAUUGCGCCCUUUGGUAUUCCAAAGGGCAUGCCUGUUCGAGCGUCAUUUGUACCCUCAAGCUUUGCUUGGUGUUGGGCGUCUUGUCUCUAGCUUUGCUGGAGACUCGCCUUAAAGUAAUUGGCAGCCGGCCUACUGGUUUCGGAGCGCAGCACAAGUCGCACUCUCUAUCAGCAAAGGUCUAGCAUCCACUAAGCCUUUUUUUCAACUUUUGACCUCGGAUCAGGUAGGGAUACCCGCUGAACUUAAGCAUAUC
rnacentral:rRNA from 1 species